rnacentral:rRNA from 1 species
CUUUUUCCCAAAGCUGUCUAGUAUAGCAUUAUACCGUGAAACUGCGAAUGGCUCAUUAAAUCAGUUAUCGUUUAUUUGAUAAUACCUUACUACUUGGAUAACCGUGGUAAUUCUAGAGCUAAUACAUGCUGAAAAUCCCGACUUCGGAAGGGAUGUGUUUAUUAGAUAAAAAACCAAUGCCCUUCGGGGCUUUUUGGUGAUUCAUGAUAACUUUACGGAUCGCAUAGCCUUGCGCUGGCGACGGUUCAUUCAAAUUUCUGCCCUAUCAACUUUCGAUGGUAAGGUAUUGGCUUACCAUGGUUUCAACGGGUAACGGGGAAUUAGGGUUCGAUUCCGGAGAGGGAGCCUGAGAAACGGCUACCACAUCCAAGGAAGGCAGCAGGCGCGCAAAUUACCCAAUCCCGACACGGGGAGGUAGUGACAAUAAAUACUGAUACAGGGCUCUUUUGGGUCUUGUAAUUGGAAUGAGUACAAUUUAAACCUCUUAACGAGGAACAAUUGGAGGGCAAGUCUGGUGCCAGCAGCCA